GCUUCCUGAGGUAGGUCUCUUGUUAUUAUAUAUACAUACAUUGAUGUGUACUCUGUUUUUCAGCUAAAAAUUGAAGUUCAUUUUUUUUUCUUUGACCUUGACUUUUAGCAUCGGGAACAUGUGUAGUUACACCUGGAACAGAUUUGAACUUGGAAUCGCAAAAGAAUUUUAAAUUGUUAAGUUCAAGAAUCAUAUUCUAGCUUUUUUUGCUCCUUAGAUUUAUUUAUACAUGCCAUUGUAA
rnacentral:misc_RNA from 1 species